ensembl:lncRNA
CACAAAUUCAAAAGUAAAAUCUUUAAACAAAAAUAUUUAUUCUACAUAUGAAAAUGUCUUCAUGGGGUGAAGAAAUAUAAAACCAAUGUAAUGGAAAUAUAUAGUAUUUUAUGUCUUAAGUGUGUACCCACAAUGCAUUGUAAUAAUAUAGACAAAACAACCAGUGCUCAUAUUGUAGGGCACAGCAGUUCUCCUGGAGCUGCCCUGUCCAUAAGGUAGGCUGGGGUAGGGUAGGGUAGGCUUAGGUAGGCUAGGGUAGGGUAGGGCAAGGUUAGGUAAGCUAGGCUAGGCUAGGGUAAGGUUAGGUAGGCUUGGGUAAGGUAGGCUAGGGUAGGGUAAGGUUAAUCUAGGGUUAGGUAGGGUAGGUUAGGCUAGGGUCAGUUACGGUAGGGAAGAGCAGAAUAGGCUAUGGUAGGCUAGGGAAGGAUAGGGUGAGGUAGGGUCAGUUAGGGUGAGGCAGGCUGAGGGAGGGUCAGUUAGGGUGAGGGAGGCUGGCCCAUAAAGCCCAGCCUCCUACUUCUGGUCCAGCUUUGCUCCUCAGUAUUCUGCGUACUGCGACUGAAGCGACUGAAUCGAGCGGCUGAGGUAUCGCCCGGAGGCUGCCUUCAGCCCGCUGUAGGGAGCCUGCGGCCCCGGAUCCUUCUUCCCACUGGGCCUCCCAGGGGCGCCAAAGUACUGACCGGGGUCCUUGGGCGGCACUCGGGGGCCCCGGGGGAGGAGGGUGGCCGCGGGGGAGCGAGGAGAGGACGGGGGGUGAAGAGGGCUGUAGGUCUGCCUGGCCUCCUCCACCUCACCGCCGUAGAGGUCGCCCAGGGAGUUGCCUAGCCUGGAGUUAGCCGCAGUGCUGAGGAUCAAUGAAACUGUCAGAACUACGAAUAGCAGAUAGUGCAGAGGUUCUGCACCACGACCUCUACGCUAUGCUACUGCUAUGCUACCAAAGGAGCUGCUCUAAAGGUUCACUCAGGGAUUGAGUCCUCUACUUAGACUAGGACCUGGGGGUGAGUUCCUAAGACUCCUUCACCUCAGGUUAGGGUUAGGGUUAACUCCUUCACCUCAGGUUAGGGUUAACUCCUUCACCUCAGGUAAGGGUUAACUCCUUCACCUCAGGUUAGGGUUAGGGUUAACUCCUUCACCUCAGGUUAGGGUUAACUCCUUCACCUCAGGUUAGGGUUAGGGUUAACUCCUUCACCUCAGGUUUCACAAUACCGGCUUCAGCUGUGGUGAAUUCUCCUGCAUAGGUUUUAAACAUAUUGGGUUAGUUUGGGUUAGGGUAACCUAACCCUAGUUUAGAGAGGGUAACCUAACCCUAAACAUAUUGGGUUAGGGUAACCUAACCCUAACCCUAAACAUAUUGGGUUAGGGUAACCUAACCCUAACCCUAACCAUAUUGUUGCGGUCUGAGAAAAGUGGAAAAAAAUAAGACUGGUUCAGCGGCAUAUUCGACGCCUGGGGAAUGCUG